GACGAACCGUGCAAACGUUAUUCGGAAUCACCGGGCUUAAAGGGCGCGUAGGCGGGCAACCAAGUCCGAGGUGAAAUCCUCCAGCUUAACUGGAGAAGUGCCCCGGAUACUGGCUGCCUCGAGGAGGGUAGGGGCAUCUGGAACUAGCGGUGGAGCGGUGAAAUGCGUUGAUAUCGCUAGGAACUCCGGUGGCGAAGGCGAGGUGCUGGACCCUUUCUGACGCUGAGGCGCGAAAGCCAGGGGAGCGAACGGG
rnacentral:rRNA from 1 species